UGCUGUGCUGCCUUAGGUAAAUGUUUUUGUUCAUUUCUGGUGAGGGGGGUUGGGAGCACUGAAGCCUUUAGUCUCUUCCAGAUUCAACUUAAAAUCUGACAAGAAAUAAAUCAGACAAGCAACAUUCUUGAAGAAAUUUUAACUGGCAAGUGGAAAUGUUUUGAACAGUUCCGUGGUCUUUAGUGCAUUAUCUUUGUGUAGGUGUUCUCUCUCCCCUCCCUUGGUCUUAAUUCUUACAUGCAGGAACAUUGACAACAGCAGACAUCUAUCUAUUCAAGGGGCCAGAGAAUCCAGACCCAGUAAGGAAAAAUAGCCCAUUUACUUUAAAUCGAUAAGUGAAGCAGACAUGCCAUUUUCAGUGUGGGGAUUGGGAAGCCCUAGUUCUUUCAGAUGUACUUCAGACUGUAGAAGGAGCUUCCAGUUGAAUUGAAAUUCACCAGUGGACAAAAUGAGGACAACAGGUUAUGCCCAAUUCGUCUUAUUACCUCUGAGUCGACACACCUCCUACUAUUUAUUGAAUACUUUGAUUUUAUGAAAUAAAAACUAAAUAUCUCUC
ensembl:lincRNA Malat1 metastasis associated lung adenocarcinoma transcript 1 (non-coding RNA)